rnacentral:lncRNA from 1 species
CGUAAUUCAUCGUGAUUGUGGUCGGUAACCCCAAUUUCUAGACAAGUUCUGAGGAAAUAAAGUUGUGUGUGGCCCCGUAAUUAAUGAGAGUGAUGACCUCCUUCUGCCCUAUUGAGCCCCUAACCUUCAUAGUUCCAAGGAUGGUUAGGCCCACCACCGAAUUCAAUGAGAGCUCUACCUUAUUUGCCACUUCUAAGGGAGGUUCCUCCGACUGAUAAUCGAACUCGAUUUCAUCUACUAGAUCCCCAUCCUGUACUAGUAGCACCCUUAAUUUGCG